ACUUUAUAGGUUCCAUAAGAGAAGAGAGCAAAACUGAGCAAAGUAGACCUGGUCAAGGUUGUGAAUCACCUCCAAAGAUUGACAAUGGCGAUGUGAUUGACAGUAAUGCAAUGAAAGCGACGUAUCAGUGUAAGAGACAUUAUACAUUAAGGGGCUCGAAAGACUUAGCAUGUCAAAAUGGCCAGUGGGAUGAACCUCCAGUUUGUUUAUCUCCGUGUUCAGUAUCAUCAAUACCUUCCGAACAUAAUCUUCAGUCUCCGAGGGGGACUACCUAUAUUCCAGAGGACAGCGAUGUACAGUUUCGUUGUAUAUCCGGAACUUACCGUUAUAAAGGAGGAUGGUUAUACACAGGCAUAGGACACUGUCGCAAUGGAAAAGUGACCUUCACGGGAUGCGGAUAUUACAACUGAAAAGGUGAUCGUGCCGAAUGAAGGUUUUCCCGCAUUCGUCACACUCGUACCGCUUGUCAUCGUGAUGGACCCUAAGAUGAAGUCUGACA